GUGUCCACUGAAAAGAUAGAUGAUUGGAAACUACUUUGAUUGGGACUGGAAUAGCCUCCAGACUUCGUUGUUACUGGAUACACCUAGGGUUAAAGCUAUUCACCUAAUUUGAGGUGGAUAAUUUUU
rnacentral:ncRNA from 1 species